rnacentral:lncRNA from 12 species
CCCCCCCCCCCCCCCCCCCCCCCCCCCCCCCCCCCCCCCCCCCCCCCCCCCCCCCCCCCCCCCCCCCCCCCCCCCCCCCCCCCCCCCCCGGCAGCCCCCCGGCCAAAGCGCGCCGCUCGCCCUCGCCCCCGCCCUCCAACCGCGCCCGCAAGAGCCGCGCCUCCGCCUCGCCCGCCAGGCCUGCAGCGCCCAAACAUAAGAGUACUGAGAAAAGAGAAUCUCCUUCGCCAGCACCCAAGCCCAGGAAAGCAGAGUUGUCGGAAUCAGAAGAAGACAAAGGAGGCAAAAUGGCUGCAGCAGAUUCUGUCCAACAGAGGCGCCAGUACAGGAGGCAAAAUCAGCAGUCUUCAUCUGAUUCUGGUUCUUCAUCUUCCUCAGAAGAGGAGAGGCCCAAGAGGUCGAACGUGAAGAACGGGGAGGUGGGCCGGCGCCGCCGGCACUCGCACUCGCGCAGCCCCUCGCCCUCGCCGCGCCGGCGCCAGAAGGAUUCCUCCCCUCGCAGGAGGAGGAGGAGCCCCUCGCCGCCCCCCGCGCGCCGGCGCCGCUCCCCUUCCCCGGCGCCGCCGCCCCGGCCCCCCCCCCCCCCCCCCCCCCCCCCCCCCCCCCCCCCCCCCCCCCCCCCCCCCCCCCCCCCCCCCCCCCCCCCCCCCCCCCCCCCCCCCGCCGCAGGUCUCCAUCUCCCCCCCCGCGCAGACGUUCUCCCUCCCCACGGAGAUACUCCCCCCCGAUCCAGAGGAGAUAUUCCCCAUCUCCCCCUCCCAAAAGGAGAACAGCCUCUCCUCCUCCCCCUCCCAAAAGAAGGGCCUCCCCUUCCCCCCAGUCCAAGCGCAGAGUCUCCCACUCCCCACCGCCAAAACAGAGGAGCUCCCCGACCGCGAAGCGGCGCUCCCCUUCCGAAUCUUCCAAGCACAGGAAGGGGUCUCCUCCCAGCAGAUCCAACAGGGAAACACGUUCUCCACCCCAAAACAAAAGGCAUUCACCUUCACCACGGCCUCGAGCUUCCCACCCCUCGUCCAGCCCCGCGCCGCCGCGCCGGGGAGCGUCGGCGUCGCCGCAGAGGAGACAGUCGCCCUCCCCCAGCAGCCGGCCCAUCAGGAGGGUGUCCAGAACACCAGAACCCAAGAAAACAAAGGCUUCCACCCCCAGCCCCCGGCGCGUGUCCUCGUCCCGCUCUGCGUCAGGCUCACCUGAGACAGCUCCCAAAAAGCACCAAGGACCUGCAUCUCCUGCCCGCUCUCGCUCUCCUUCUGCAAACUGGUCACCUGCAAAAAAGGCCAAGAGCCCAACUCAGAGCCCAUCACCUGCCAGGAACUCAGAUCAAGAAGGUGGUGGCAAGAAGAAGAAGAAAAAGAAGGAUAAGAAGCAUAAAAAGGAUAAAAAGCACAAGAAACACAAAAAGCAUAAGAAGGAGAAGGCAGCAGCAGCUGCAGCAGCUGCUGCUGUGGCUGCAGCAGACACCACCUCAGCACAGGGAGAGCAGGAAACAGAGACAGAACCCAAAAAGGAGACAGAAAGUGAACCUGAGGACAACCUGGAUGACCUAGAAAAGCACCUGAGGGAGAAGGCCCUGAGGUCCAUGAGGAAGGCGCAGGUGUCCCCCCCCUCCUAGGCAAACCCUUUGAUAUAAUGUACAUUUUAUUUGGUUUGUACUCAGAAUUCAAUUUCAAAUUGCUAAAUGUGUUUGAGCUUUAGAAUAUAACAUUUGUUGUAAUAAUUGCUAGGUUGAGGUUCACCAUGUACAAAGGGCAUGGAUUUACAUUACAAAAGGUGUCCACAGUGUACUAGUGACAUUCUUUCAUUGACAGUCAGCAUAAUUUCAUUUAGAGUGAGACUUUUUAGAAGCAGUAGGAAUUUGUUUUGGAGGUUUGAAACAUGACCGUCAGUUCCCUCCUUUCUUUGAAAUCCAACAGCCUUGAGCAGAAUUUGUGAGGGUCUCAUUUGACUUCUUUUGUAUCACUUACAUGAUGCUACUAACCUUUGUGGUUUGUAGGCUUGCCCAGGAGUAAAACCACUGCAGAAUUCAAGGAAGUACAUCUCUAUUUUAAUGCUUUCUACUGUUGCCUGUGUAGUCUCCAUUCAAGCCAAUCAAGAAUAGCAAUUUAGAGUGGUACAUAAAUGAAAGCAUGUUGUUUACCAGGACACUGUGGGUUUAUAUUGAUGUAACAUGUUGAUUUGGAACACUGGAAUUUCAUUUGUAUUUUUAUGUUCUUUUUUUAAAGGGCAGUUUCCAUGAUCAGCAAUCCCAGAAAAAAAAAAUAAUUCCUUCAGUUCCAUAAAUUUUGUUUGUGAGCUGUCGUUGCCCCAUUCAUAAAUCUUGUCUCGUUACGGUUCUUCAGAAUGGUCUGAGCAACUUUCAGAGCUGUGUUCUUUGAAAGUUUAGAGGAACCUGAACUUUGGAUAUUGUCAUGUUUUCACUGUUCUUUGUUUUUGUUUUUUUAACUAAAGCUAUAUAAAGCUUGUGGAUUAAACAAAAUAAAUUUCUAAAUUUAAACAGAUGUUGGCUAUUU